CUGCUGUGCUGGGAGGAAGGCAGUCUUUUGCUGGCUAUAUAUGUAUAUAUGUAUGAAAAAAGUUCCUAACAUAAAAGAUACUUCAGACCUCCCUAUGCUGUCUAUUGAUAUGGAAAACAAAGAAAAUGGAUCUUUCAACACUGAAAACUUGGUAGAGAAUGGAAGACCUCCUGAUCCUGCUGACUGGGCAGUUACAGAUGUGGUGAAUUAUUUUAGAACAGUGGGCUUUGAAGAACAAGCUAACGCUUUUCAAGAGCAGAUAAGGAGAAAGGUGGGGCAGCAUUUGCAACACAUCUGAGGAUCACCCUGGUCCACUUAGCAGCACUAUUGCCCUGGUCACCUGGUGAGGAGCCUGAAAUUGAUGGGAAGUCUUUACUGUUGAUGACGAGGAAUGAUGUGCUGACUGGACUUUCAUUAAAACUGGGACCCGC